CAAUGCUGUUCUCGGCUCUGGAGUGCUGGGGCUGGGGGUGGAUCCGCCGCCGCCUCCUAUUCCGUUCUGCCCAUAAGACCUCCGGAGGAAAACCGGAAGUCUGGGACGGAAGAAGAGCCGUGCUCCUUCCUGUUUGCCUCCAGUCUCUGCCAGCAUCACUCAGCCUGAAUCUUCACCCCAGCAGAGACCGUUCAUUCCAUGAGCCGUAGUAGAUCCCCGUUGGCAGUUUUUUCUGACACCCACAGAACUAGCUUUAUUGUAUCCCCACUGGCCCGCGCACCCCUGCCGGCCAGCACCCCCUCUUCACAAGUCUCCGCUGUGGGAGUCCCCCUUCAAGCUUAGAGAGAGCAGCGGCAGCGUGUGGCAGCUCCUUCUCAGAUGGCAUAAAAGGAGACUGGGUUCCUAAAUCACCAUAUGGAGGAAAGCUACCCACUAACCAGGAACACAUUCACCAAACUGUGAUUUGAGCAAGAAGGACGCUGCAGUUGUAUAAAACCACUAAAACAUGGGAAUUAUUUCUUACAGCUACUAACUGUGCCUAACAAUUAUUCCUAAAGAGCUUUUAAAAACAUGUGUCUAAUAAAACCUACAAGAUCAGAA